rnacentral:sRNA from 12 species
GUCGUAUAAAGAUGUAUUAGAUGCAAGACAAUCUAGCAUUUCCCUUUACGGCAUUGUAUAAAAUAUUAGAAGUUCAAAUAACAAUAGUUGUUGUAUGGUAAAUAAUCGAAACAGUUUGAGUUUGAAUGGAAUAGGUUAUCUGUAUGACCUUGGGUUGAAAAACACUAAAAAUAAUCUCAUAAUAAUGAUUUCGGAAUUUUCGUUAUUUUGAGUUACAGUGGA